AAAAAAAAUUCAUUACAACACAAUUAUUAAUUUUGAAUAACGUAGAAUAGCUUUUGUUAUUCAGUUUGCCCAUAUUGUAUUGAAUUCCACUAUGAUGCUAUCUUUAUGGGAGUCAUGUUUACUGUUGAAUAAUGAUACUUUACUUUCAUUAUCACUGUAGAGCGAUUCAUUAGUAUUGUAUAUGCGGUGCAUUUUCACUGUAUGAAUUCAGCCGACUUGCACAAACAAUAAUUACAGUAAGAAAAGGAUUUGAUAGUGCUGACUUUGAGAUGAAUAGUUUGAUUGAACA
rnacentral:lncRNA from 1 species